GAUGAACGCUAGCGAUAGGCUUAACACAUGCAAGUCGAGGGGCAGCACAAGGUAGCUUGCUCUCUGGGUGGCGACCGGCGCACGGGUGCGUAACGCGUAUGCAACUUGCCCUAUACAGGAGGAUAACCCGUCGAAAGACGGACUAAUACUGCGUAUGCUCACAACUUGGCAUCCAGUGGUGAGGAAAGAAAUUCGGUAUAGGAUAGGCAUGCGUCCCAUUAGCUUGUUGGUGAGGUAACGGCUCACCAAGGCAACGAUGGGUAGGGGAACUGAGAGGUUUAGCCCCCACACUGGUACUGAGACACGGACCAGACUCCUACGGGAGGCAGCAGUGAGGAAUAUUGGUCAAUGGGAGCGAGCCUGAACCAGCCAAGUCGCGUGAAGGAUGACUGUCUUAUGGAUUGUAAACUUCUUUUAUACGGGAAUAACAAGAGUCACGGGUGACUCCCUGCAUGUACCGUAUGAAUAAGCAUCGGCUAACUCCGUG
rnacentral:rRNA from 1 species